rnacentral:rRNA from 1 species
AUUGAACGCUGGCGGCGUGCCUAACACAUGCAAGUCGAGCGGUAACAGGUGUAGCAAUACAUGCUGACGAGCGGCGAACGGGUGAGUAAUGCUUCGGAAUCUACCUUAUGGUGGGGAAUAACUAGCCGAAGGGUUAGCUAAUACCGCAUACGUCCUACGGGAGAAAGCAGGGGAUCGCAAGACCUUGCGCCAAAAGAUGAGCCGAAGUCGGAUUACGUAGUUGGUAGGGUAAGGGCCUACCAAGGCGACGAUCCGUAGCUGGUCUGAGAGGACGACCAGCCACACUGGGACUGAGACACGGCCCAGACUCCUACGGGAGGCAGCAGUGGGGAAUAUUGGACAAUGGGGGAAACCCUGAUCCAGCGACGCCGCGUGUGUGAAGAAGGCCUGCGGGUUGUAAAGCACUUUUAGUGGGGAUGAAAUGUGCAGGGUUAAUACCUCUGCAUUUUGACCUAACCCACAGAAAAAGCACCGGCUAACUCUGUGCCAGCAGCCGCCGUAA